ACCAGACGAUGCGGUUACCGCGGCUGCUGGCACGGAGUUAGCCGGUGCUUCUUCUGCGAGUAACGUCACAGAUGUAAGGUAUUAACUUACACCCUUUCCUCCUCGCUGAAAGUGCUUUACAACCCGAAGGCCUUCUUCACACACGCGGCAUGGCUGCAUCCAGGGUUUCCCCCAUUGUGCAAUAUUCCCCACUGCUGCCUCCCGUAGGAGUCUGGGCCGUGUCUCAGUCCCAGUGUGGCUGAUCAUCCUCUCAGACCAGCUAGGGAUCGUCGCCUAGGUGAGCCUUUACCUCACCUACUAGCUAAUCCCACCUGGGCUUAUCCAUCAGCGCAAGU
rnacentral:rRNA from 1 species